ACAGUUGUAACUCAGAGGAUAGAGUAUUUGAUUGCGAAUCAAAAAGUCAUAGGUUCAAUUCCUAUCAACUGUA
rnacentral:tRNA from 1 species